rnacentral:rRNA from 1 species
UAGUGAGUUUGAUCCUGGCUCAGAUUGAACGCUGGCGGCAUGCUUUACACAUGCAAGUCGAACGGCAGCGCGGGGCAACCUGGCGGCGAGUGGCGAACGGGUGAGUAAUAUAUCGGAACGUACCCAAGAGUGGGGGAUAACGUAGCGAAAGUUACGCUAAUACCGCAUACGAUCUAUGGAUGAAAGUGGGGGAUCGCAAGACCUCAUGCUCCUGGGAGCGGCCGAUAUCUGAUUAGCUAGUUGGUGAGGUAAAGGCUCACCAAGGCCACGAUCAGUAGCUGGUCUGAGAGGACGACCAGCCACACUGGGGACUGAGACACGGGCCCAGACUCCUACGGGGAGGCAGCAGUGGGGGAAUAUUGGACAAUGGGCGAAAGCCCUGAUCCAGCAAUGCCGCGUGAGUGAUGAAGGCCUUAAGGGGGUUGUAAAACCCUCUUUUCUCAAGGAAGAAACGUCAAAUGACGGUACUUGAGGAAUCAGCAUCGGCUAACU